AGACCCGAAACCCGGUGAUCUAGCCAUGGGCAGGUUGAAGGUUGGGUAACACUAACUGGAGGACCGAACCGACUAAUGUUGAAAAAUUAGCGGAUGACCUGUGGCUGGGGGUGAAAGGCCAAUCAAACCGGGAGAUAGCUGGUUCUCCCCGAAAGCUAUUUAGGUAGCGCCUCGUGAAUUCAUCUCCGGGGGUAGAGCACUGUUUCGGCUAGGGGGCCAUCCCGGCUUACCAACCCGAUGCAAACUGCGAAUACCGGAGAAUGUUAUCACGGGAGACACACGGCGGGUGCUAACGUCCGUCGUGAAGAGGGAAACAACCCAGACCGCCAGCUAAGGUCCCAAAGUCAUGGUUAAGUGGGAAACGAUGUGGGAAGGCCCAGACAGCCAGGAUGUUGGCUUAGAAGCAGCCAUCAUUUAAAGAAAGCGUAAUAGCUCACUGGUCGAGUCGGCCUGCGCGGAAGAUGUAACGGGGCUAAACCAUGCACCGAAGCUGCGGCAGCGACACUGUGUGUUGUUGGGUAGGGGAGCGUUCUGUAAGCCUGUGAAGGUGGCCUGUGAGGGUUGCUGGAGGUAUCAGAAGUGCGAAUGCUGACAUAAGUAACGAUAAAGCGGGUGAAAAGCCCGCUCGCCGGAAGACCAAGGGUUCCUGUCCAACGUUAAUCGGGGCAGGGUGAGUCGACCCCUAAGGCGAGGCCGAAAGGCGUAGUCGAUGGGAAACGGGUUAAUAUUCCCGUACUUGGUGUUACUGCGAAGGGGGGACGGAGAAGGCUAUGUUGGCCGGGCGACGGUUGUCCCGG
rnacentral:rRNA from 1 species